UACGAAGGGUGCAAGCGUUAUUCGGAAUUACUGGGCGUAAAGCGCGCGUAGGUGGUUCAGUAAGUUGACGGUGAAAUCCCCGGGCUCAACCUGGGAACUGCCUCCAAAACUGCUGAGCUAGAGUAUGGUAGAGGGUAGUGGAAUUUCCUGUGUAGCGGUGAAAUGCGUAGAUAUAGGGAGGAACACCAGUGGCGAAGGCGACUACCUGGACUGAUACUGACACUGAGGUGCGAAAGCGUGGGGAGCAAACAGG
rnacentral:rRNA from 1 species